ACAACUCACAACUCACAACUCACAGCCAUAACCUAAAUACGUCCCAAAGAGGGAUUUUCAUUUUGUAUUCGAUAAAACGUCAUCGUUUGAUCACGAAUGCUCCUACAAAGGCUCCAUUUAUCUGCAUCCACAGUCCAUACAAACACCCAUCUCCAUUUCUUAACCUCGCUUCAUACCUUCUCUAGCGAAAAAUCAAAAGCCAUGUUUGAAGAAUCUGCAACAUCCAUACCUUCUACCUGGGCAUCCAUGAAUAGUUGGUUCACCCCAACUGUCCUCUUUCUCCUCCUCAAUCUCAUGAUACUCGCCAUUGCUAUUACUUCAAGCUUAGCCACCCAGAAACCCACCCAACACCAAGAUGAUAAACAUCCACCACAACACUCCACCCACCAACUUGCUAGAUCUCCAUCCGUUCUUCAAAGGCUCAAAUCUAUCAACUUUUAUAGCUAUAGAUCCCCAGAACAGAACACUGUAACUUACGAAAAAUAUCACCAAUUUCACUCCCAUUUCACUCCCCAACAAUCCCCUCUAGAUGAGUACCACCAAAACCAACCUUUUAUCUCCAGAUCUCCUUCUAUGCUUCAACGCCUCAAGUCUGUCAACCUCUAUAAUUACUUCUCUCAGGAACCCAUUACCAAUACUUUGCCCAGGGCUCAAGAACAGCUCCAGGAACAAGAACAGGAAACCGAAACAAAGGAAGAAGAAACUGAGAAAAUCCAAGAUCAAGAGCAGACCCUUGACAAGAUAUACAGCAAGCUACAGAGCAAUAAUAAAGUGAACAGGUCCAAAUCGGACACAAAGCCAACUUCAGGCGAGGUUCCCACAAAGCUUCCAAAGAAAAUGAAGAAAUCUGCUAGCUCCAAGUCUGCUUUUGCUCAUUUCAAAGAAGAAGACAAUGUGGAAUCUCGUCGGCCGGCGACGGUGAGGGAAGGAAAGAGUAAAGCGACAGAAGUGGAUGGUGAAGAGGUGGAUGCAAGGGCUGAUGAUUUCAUCAACAGGUUUAAGCAGCAGUUGAAGUUGCAGAGGAUUGAUUCCAUUACCAACUACAAGGAGACGAUCGGUAGAAGGAGUGGAAACUAACUGAAGAUGGGUUUAGAUUGUGGGUUGGAUUUGAUUUUUGUUGAAAUUUUUAGGGUUUGUUGAGUGUUGAUUAGAUCCUUUUAAAAAAUUUACUGUUUGGUGCCUUUAAUCAACUCUUUAUUCAAAUAUACCCCUUAUUUAUUUUGAUUUAAAAU
rnacentral:misc_RNA from 1 species